GUUCUCUUCAUAUACAGAUCUUAUAUCUCCCUCCUCAGCACAGAUCUAAUUGAGAUGGUGUCUUCAGCACAAGAAACUCCGCCAAACACUCUGUCAAAAUGUUUUCUGUGAGAAAAGCAGCAUCUUUGUUGCUCUGUGUGAUCAGUGUCUGCAGAGGACGUUCACGUUGUAUUCCAUCAUAUUACCAGGCGGGAACUGAGUGCUGUCCGAAGUGUUCACCUGGAGAGUAUGUAAGAGCAGACUGCGCGGAUGAAUCCAGCACUAAGUGUAAUCCCUGUGAAGACGGAACCUUCAACGAUGUUUUC